GCGUUAUUUUGACGCUGAGGAAAAAAAAAACAGCUGAAGCUGAAGUGUUGAACCCUACCCAUUACCCAACCCAUUUCAAAGACACACUCACCUCCUCAACCUUAAUUUCCUCUUCCACCUUCCUCCAACAAACUCCACCGUCACUAUCACAAUCGACGCCGGAUCCAAGCUGAUGUCAGCGAAUCGAAGCAGCUGUCACCGUCGCGGAUCGAAGCAGCUGUCAGCGAUGUCGUCAUCAUGAACUCUGAACUCUGAAGCUUCUGGCGUCGAUGUUGUCUGGUCAGCCUAGUUGUCGGCUUGUCGUCCUGGUCGUUAGCUUCUGUCAACGUCGUCGUUGGGCAUCUGGUCAUCUUCCUU